rnacentral:lncRNA from 1 species
GAAAAUGAGGCACAAGGUCCCGGUUUCGGUAUGAUUAGCACGCCCCCACUCUUGCUAGUCUUCCAUCAAAUGACCAAAUCAAUGAAUGGAAAGAUAGGGCUGCUAAAGCUAGCAAAAAGCUGGAAUAUGUGGAAUACAGUCUGCUGGAAUUGAAAAGAAAAGUGAGGAAGAGAGCCACCGAUUUCUAGAACGCUGAGGGAAAUGAAGGAGAACAUCUGGCAAAGGUAUUUUUACAGGUGAACCUACGAAAACUGGAGGAUUUGAUCAACGAGAGCGUUCAACCUAGGGAAGGUCCUUCUAGGACCAAAUAGAUAGGAGUUUCCUUCAUUGAAAUGUAAUAGGGCCAAUGGCCACUAGCAACUAUUAUCUGCUAUUAUCUACUGUCGAUUUGGGAUUCGUCUUAUUUUCUAUUAAUAAAA